rnacentral:misc_RNA from 1 species
CCAAGUCCUCUGCUUCC